AUUGAACGCUGGCGGCAGGCCUAACACAUGCAAGUCGAACGGUAACAGGAAGAAGCUUGCUUCUUUGCUGACGAGUGGCGGACGGGUGAGUAAUGUCUGGGAAACUGCCUGAUGGAGGGGGAUAACUACUGGAAACGGUAGCUAAUACCGCAUAACGUCGCAAGACCAAAGAGGGGGACCUUCGGGCCUCUUGCCAUCGGAUGUGCCCAGAUGGGAUUAGCUAGUAGGUGGGGUAACGGCUCAACUAGGCGACGAUCCCUAGCUGGUCUGAGAGGAUGACCAGCCACACUGGAACUGAGACACGGUCCAGACUCCUACGGGAGGCAGCAGUGGGGAAUAUUGCACAAUGGGCGCAAGCAUGAUGCAGCCAUGCCGCGUGUAUGAAGAAGGCCUUCGGGUUGUAAAGUACUUUCAGCGGGGAGGAAGGGAGUAAAGUUAAUACCUUUACUGAUUGACGUUACCCGCAGAAGAAGCACCGGCUAACUCCGUG
rnacentral:rRNA from 1 species